rnacentral:tRNA from 11 species
GGUCUGGUAGUUCAGUUGGUUAGAAUAUCUGCCUGUCACGCAGGGGGUCGCGGGUUCGAGUCCCGUCCAGACCGCAA